rnacentral:rRNA from 1 species
UACGUAGGGUGCGAGCGUUAAUCGGAAUUACUGGGCGUAAAGCGUGCGCAGGCGGUUUUGUAAGCCAGAUGUGAAAUCCCCGGGCUUAACCUGGGAAUGGCAUUUGGGACUGCAAGGCUGGAGUGCGGCAGAGGAGACUGGAAUUCCUGGUGUAGCAGUGAAAUGCGUAGAUAUCAGGAGGAACACCGAUGGCGAAGGCAGGUCUCUGGGCUGACACUGACGCUGAGGAGCGAAAGCCAGGGGAGCAAACGGG